rnacentral:lncRNA from 10 species
CCGGGCUGGAGAGCCGGAGACGGCCAUGUGCAGAGAGGCCAGGCAAUGCCUGAUUGUGAUUGCAGGAAACUGUUGCCCACACAGAACUGGUUGCUGCAGUAGGAGCUGGAAUAAGAGACAGGGUCCUGCAGAUCUUUGAGCGUUAAGACAAAACCUUUGUCCUGAAAGACUUCGUGAGCUGGUCCUGAGAGACUGUGGCCAAUGCCAGUGUGUUAUCUAUUUCUGAAAUCCGAACUUCAGAAUGAACGGAAGGGAGUCAAAAACCCUGCCUCAGCAUGUCAGGCAAACCUGUAUAUGAGAGCUGCGAGUUUGUUUUGUUGAUUAGUUGAUUGGGGCUGUGGUUGUGGGCAUGGUGGCGUAACACAUUCUUUGUUCUCGUCUACCUUUGCUCCCUUCCCUUCCUAAGUUACAGAAAUAAUACAUGCUUGUUUGAACGCGCAUUUGUUACAAGCAUGUGAUUUUUUUGUAUCUUAAAGUAAUACCAAAGGAAAUAAAAGUUUUUCCCUUACCCCAUCAUUAUCCCUCCAAGGUAACCAUGUUAACAGACUGGUAUGUGACCCUCCACACCUUUCUUCACACUUACACAACACAUACCAACAAAAG